AUCCAGCUGACGAGUCCCGAAUAGCACGAAACGCGCGUCGAACUGAAU
rfam:Schistosoma curassoni strain Dakar, Senegal genome assembly, scaffold: SCTD_scaffold0005089